CCCUUAGAUGUCCUGGGCCGCACGCGCGCUACACUGAGUGUCUGAGAUACGAGUCUGCCUGGUCCGGCAAGGUCUAGGUAAUCGCUAAAAGACACAUCAUGCUUGGGAUAGAUUAUUGCAAAUAUUAAUCUUGAACGAGGAAUUCCUAGUAAGCGCAAGUCAACAGCUUGCGUUGAUUACGUCCCUGCCCUUUGUACACACCGCCCGUCGCUACUACUGAUUGGAUGUUUAAGCGAGGUUCUCGAACUGCUAGCGACUUAGCAUCGGUGAGGUCGCAGUGUGGGAAGUGAACCUAGCUUUGGUGUCUAGAGGAAGUAAAAGUCGUAACA
rnacentral:rRNA from 1 species